AUCGCUUCUCGGCCUUUUGGCUAAGAUCAAGUGCAGUAUCUGUUCUUAUCAGUUUAAUAUCUGAUACAUCGUCUAUCCGACGACAAUAUAUUAAAUGGAUUUUUGGCACUUGGAACUGGAAUAGGAGCUUGCUCCGUCCAUUCCAUGCAUUGAUUGACCUGGUAAUGCAGUACCUCCAGGAAUGGUGCAAAAAAA